AGCCUAUACCCUAAAAUGUUAUUAGUGUGUACCGCAAGCCUCACGAACCUGCACAGACACAGCAAAGGAAUGUCCUUCGCAGGGUCAUCAGUGUGGUGCAGUGAGACUCAUUUCAUACAAAGGUGCCUCAAAAGUUAUUGAUGUCCACUCAAAGGAUUGUGCUGUGGCUGAAGAGUGUGUUGAGGCCUCAGCCAACUAUGGGAUCAACAAAACCGUAAUUACCAGCAAGUGUUGCACUUCUGAGCUCUGCAACACCCAACCUGCCCCUGAGCCCACCAAAUCCAAUCCAAACGGCAAAAAGUGCUUCACCUGUGAUGGACAAUCAUGCACCGCAACUCUGAACUGUGAGGGGGAUGAGCACUACUGCAUCUCAUCAAAAGUGAAUGUAGGAAAUGACGAGGUGACCAUGAAAGGCUGUGCCUCCAAGUUGAUGUGCUCAAAUACACCGUCUGCACAGAUAUCAGGGGCCAUUGAAGCAGAAAUUAGCUGCUGUCAGGGGAACUUCUGCAACAGUGCCAGCAGCACGAGUGCUGGACUUCUGCUCCUGUUGACACCACUGGUCUCUUUGGUCGUGUUUUCUUAAGUGGUGGAGAUGGCAGCAUCACUGCAGCACGUGGCAAACAGCUUUUCUUCUCAUCUUCACAUGGCCUCAUAGUGCUUACACACCCGUGGCCUUAUCUUUCUACCUGAUCAGUGAGACAGUUUAGCAAACAAAGCAUGAAAUAUAACUUAGUAAAGUUGUGAUUAUUAUUGCCUCAAACAGUUUCUAGCCAUAUUGCCUGUGGAGACAAUUGCAACUGUCUUGCACUAUUUUUUUUUUUUUUUUUUGAAUUUUAAAGUAAAACAAGUAAAAUGUGAAAAACAUGUUGAAGCAUAAUGUUUGCUCUGUGUGCGGUGCUUAACCUGAAACAUAUUUUUAAUUUCAAUUAUCAAAAUCAUUCUGAUGAUACUGAUAAAAUGCUCAAUAAAUAAUACAUUUCUUAA